rnacentral:rRNA from 1 species
UACGUAGGGUCCAAGCGUUAUCCGGAAUCACUGGGCGUAAAGCGUGCGUAGGUGGAUGCUUAAGUGAGUUGUUAAAUCGUGUGGCUCAACCAUAUCGAUGCAAUUCAUACUGGGCGUCUAGAGGACAGCAGAGGCAAGUGGAAUUAGCAGUGUAGCAGUGAAAUGCGUAGAUAUUGCUAGGAACACCAAUGGCGAAGGCAGCUUGCUGGGCUACUCCUGACACUGAGGUACGAAAGCGUGGGGAGCGAACAGG